rnacentral:rRNA from 1 species
GGAGGGUGCGAGCGUUGUCCGGAAUCACUGGGCGUAAAGGGCGCGUAGGCGGCCUGAUAAGUAGAGGGUGAAAUCCUGCGGCUUAACCGCAGGGCUGCCUUUUAAACUGUCAGGCUAGAGCACGGUAGAGGCAGAUGGAAUUCCCGGUGUAGCGGUGGAAUGCGUAGAGAUCGGGAAGAACAUCAGUGGCGAAGGCGGUCUGCUGGGCCGUUGCUGACGCUGAGGCGCGACAGCGUGGGGAGCAAACAGGAUUAGAUACCCUGGUAGUCCACGCCGUAAACGAUGGGCCAUUAGGCGUCGGGGGGAGCGACCCUCCCGGUGCCGUCGCUAACGCAGUAAGUGCCCCGCCUGGGGAGUACGGCCGCAAGGCAG